rnacentral:rRNA from 1 species
UACGUAGGGACCAAGCGUUGUUCGGAUUUACUGGGCGUAAAGGGCUCGUAGGCGGCAAUUCAAGUCAUCUGUGAAAUCUCCGGGCUUAACUCGGAACGGUCAGAUGAUACUGCUUUGCUAGAGUGCGGAAGGGGCAAUCGGAAUUCUUGGUGUAGCGGUGAAAUGCGUAGAUAUCAAGAGGAACACCUGAGGUGAAGACGGGUUGCUGGGCUGACACUGACGCUGAGGCGCGAAAGCGUGGGGAGCGAUCCGG